UUAAAACGGCCGCGGUACCCUAAACCGUGCGAAGGUAGCGUAAUCACUUGUUCUCUAAAUUAGGACUAAGUAUGAAUGGCAUCACGAAGGUUAUACUGUCUCCCCUUUUUAAUCAGUGAAACUAAUCUCCCCGUGAAGAAGCGGGAAUUUAAUUAUAAGACGAGAAGACCCUAUGGAGCUUUAAAACUAAAAACACCUGUUAUUAAAUUUAAAAAUUCCCAUAUAUUUUUACAUAAUGAUUUAUAGUUUUAGGUUGGGGUGACCAUGGAGUAAAAUUAACCUCCAUAAUGAAUCUAAUUAAGCAAAAAAUUACAAUUUUAUUCAUCAAUACAUUGACAUUUAUUGACCCAAUAUUUUGAUCAUUGAACCAAGUUACCCUAGGGAUAACAGCGCAAUCUACUUUUAAAGUUCAUAUCGACAAGUAGGUUUACGACCUCGAUGUUGGAUCAGGAUAUCCCAGUGGUGCA
rnacentral:rRNA from 1 species